GAGACCAGCUACAGAAGGAGAGAGAUGAUCUCAAAAGAAAGUUCUCUAAUCUGAAACAAACCUGUCCUAAAGGCUGGCAGAAGUUUGAAUCCAGUUGGUACUUCCUGUCUACUGAGACUAAAACCUGGAUGGAGAGCAGAGAGGACUGUAUGGAGAGAGGAGCUGACCUAGUCAUCGUAAACAGUGAUAAGGAACAGGAGUUUCUCUUUGGCCUCGAUAAGAGAGCCUGGAUUGGUCUGAAUGACUCUGUUACUGAGGGGAC